UGGAACCAAGGAAGUACACAAUGC
rnacentral:siRNA from 1 species